UGGGGAAUCUUGCGCAAUGGGCGAAAGCCUGACGCAGCCAUGCCGCGUGGAUGAUGAAGGUCUUAGGAUUGUAAAAUCCUUUCACCGGGGACGAUAAUGACGGUACCCGGAGAAGAAGCCCCGGCUAACUUCGUGCCAGCAGCCGCGGUAAUACGAAGGGGGCUAGCGUUGCUCGGAAUUACCGGGCGUAAAGGGCGCGUAGGCGGACAGUUAAGUUGGGGGUGAAAGCCCGGGGCUCAACCUCGGAAAUGCCUUCAAUACUGGCUGUCUUGAGUACGGGAGAGGUGAGUGGAACUCCGAGUGUAGAGGUGAAAUUCGUAGAUAUUCGGAAGAACACCAGUGGCGAAGGCGACUCACUGGCCCGUUACUGACGCUGAGGCGCGAAAGCGUGGGGAGCAAACA
rnacentral:rRNA from 1 species